UAAAGGAGCCGCAAAAAGGAUAAGAGAAUCGUAUAAUUACGUUGGAGUUGCAAGUGCCGCAACACCAUUGCCUCAUUCGGACCACAUUCCUGUGCCAAAAGCUUCUAGCCCAGAUAUUUUCUCUUUUACGACUGCUCCGUGCUCCGCUACUAUCAUGCACGUGAUGAUUCCCCAUAUGAGCCAUCAGUAUCCAAUGAGCCAAUUUUAAUAAAUCAAAAUAAGCUUGAUUCAAUUGUUGCCAAGUUGGAAUUAACACAGCAUAUAUCGGAAGAGCUGGCUUCCAUUUUGAAAUCAAACAAUUUGUUGGCACCCGGUGUGAAAGUCACAGCUUAUCGAAGUCGUCAGGCAACACUCCAAAGUUUAUUCCUUGUGAAUGAUGAAAAAACUUCUGCAUAUUGCCCGGAUGUAGGAAAAUUGAUGAACGCAAUGGUAAUAAAAUAUGAAGCAGAUGACUGAAGAUUAUUUAUUGACAGUUCAAAACUGAGCUUGAAGGCGGUUUUACUUCAUAAGACCAAUAAAAAACCUUCAGUUCCAAUCGCCUAUAGUACAGAAACGAAAGAAACAUAUGAUGCACUGGAAAAUAAUAUAAUAUAAUUUGUAAUUUAAAACUGGUUAAAGUUGGUGAACUGGUGAAGUUUUCUUGUUUUUGAAACUAAUUUACCCGAGACUCAGCGAAAGUAAAAUUAAAAAAGGCAUACUAAAUGGUCCAGAUAUACCAAAGCUGAUUAAAAGUGACGCAUUCAACAAUAUUUUGAUUGACGCUGAAUUGAAUGCAUGGCAGGCAAUGAAAGAAGUAAUAGAAGGUUUGUUGGGAAAGCAUCGUUUUAACAACUACGAUGUUUCUGUCGCAAGGAUGUUAAGAGCAUUCUCGGAAAUUGGUGUCCACAGGUCCUUGAAAAUCCAUUAUUUACAUCAUCAUCUGGACUAUUUCAGCAAACAAUUGGCUACCGAAUCUGAUGAACAAGAUGAACGCUAUCAUCAAGUUGCUAUGCCAUUUGAAAUGAGAUAUAGAGGCAAAAAGUCUCCGAGUUCAAUAAUUGCGGAAAUUUGCUGGUGGAGUAGGCUUGUGUGGUAAGACAGGGAUGAUCUUGAUGAUAAAGAAUUUUCAGAAGGGCCAACAGUGGAGUCACACAUUGACAUUAUGUGUGGUUCAGAAACUGUUGAUAGUGAUGAAUGCGAUGCCACUAGUCCCGAACAACCACCGUCGAAAAAGUCUAGGCAAUAUUUAUUAAAAUAAAUAAAAAUAAAUAAAUAAAAUAAAAAUAAAACAUUAUAAAAAUGUUUACUUUAUUUUUUUAGUAGUUUAUGGCCAGAAGUCUGGAGUUAUUGGGGAAAAUUUAUAAAAAAGGCGACAAAUGACACUUUUUUUAAAUAAAAACAAAUAAAACAAAUAGAAAUUGUAAUUCUUAAUUUUUCUAAAUUUAUUUCAUCAAAAUCGGACAAGUGGUUCGCGAGUGGUUCGCGAGUUUUUGCCAAAAUGUUACAACUAAGCGAAAAAACAUCAAGAUAAGGAAAAAAUUUAAAAGGUGAUAAAAAAAAACUGACACAUACGAACGCCAAACCCUUUGAGGGUUUUACUAUACUGACCUAGUACCAUCACCCUGACUUGGAAUUUCUCACCCCCCAGACAAUAAUCCCAAAAAUGUUCCAUAG